GGCUUUUGAGGUGUAGUCGCGGCAACCAGAAGAUGGGCGUGUGGUAUGCGGCGCGCGGGAGGGUGGCUUGAAAGGGUCUUUAUGAACCCUAGGGAAAGGCCGUCUGGUAGUAACUCCAUUUCAAGACCUUUUAAAGUGAGACAUGCAUAUGUUGAAAGAGUUUCAGAGAGUGAAGCUGGGUUCUUAGAAGCUGGAAUGUCCCAGCAGAAUGUAGAAAUGCGAAAAAUUCGGCACAGUAGUCUAAAUGCACCCACCACUAGAAUUUGAACAUCCUAAGAACAGGUAUUUUUGUCUCUGCUUUGCUGAUGUAUCCUCAGCAACUGGAACUGCCUGACAUGUCUGUGAUAGCUGCCAUUCUCAUUAUAUUGCCCACAGCUGAUCCUUUCUGUGAGUCACCAGGCUGGUGAGGAAGAAUCUAUGGCAACAUUGUAUCUAUUAAUAUACAGCUUCUGUAUUUAUCAGGUAAGUUUGGAUACUUUCUGGAGUGAGGCAUUCACAGCCUGCCAUGAAAAUUAUUGCAAUCUACUAAGUAACAACUGACCCAUAAUGAGACAAUCUGCAAAGGUGGUGUGAAAUUAAUGUUUCCUAACCCCUGGACUAGUUCUAUGCACCAGCAUGCGAUGAUUAUCUCCUCAGCCUCAUAUAAUCUUCUAUAAUUGCCCCCUAGCUUCAUUAUUUAGAAAACAUUGUAUCAUUUAGUCAUACAUUCUAUAAAGAUGUAUGUAUUAAACAUCUGUAAGAUGUAAUCUGCCCUUAAGAGCCUAGAAUCUGACUGAGCUUUUAAAGUAUACACAAAAAGCUGGAGGAUGAUGGCUGACAACAUAAAAAAUGGUUUUUAUUGAAUGUUUAUUCUGUACCAGGCACUUUCCAUGAAUCACCUUAUCCUCAUAAAAACCCUAUGAGCAAGUGUGCCGAAGUCUUAGUAUCCUCAUUUUUAUAGCUGAGAAAAUUGAGACUUAGAGAAAUUAUUUACUUAAGAUCACACUGCUAGUAAAUGAACUCCAAAGUGUUUGAUGUUAGUAUUCUAAAUAAUUCUGUAUGUUAUCUUGAGAUUAUGGAAUUAAAAAGUAUGCCGAUUAUGAGGAUGAUAGAGAAGACAGGAGAGAGCACUAUGAGCUGGAAUAGUAUCGACAGCAUUUUGAAAGACUGAGGUGGACCUUCAAAAAAUGGCUGAUUUGGAAGUCUUUUUGUGAUUGGGUGUAUCAGGUGGCAGGAGAGUGUGGUGUGGAGUGUUCUAAGUGAGGGAAGCAGCUUGCAUAGAAAUGUGUGCAUGCAAGUACCUCUGGUGUGAGGCCUAGUGGAAAGGAAGCAUUGGGAAGAAUGUUUUCUCCUCAUUUUCCUUAAUUUUGAAGAUUUCAUUUCUGAUGCCAUAUAAUUUGAAAAGAGAGGUUUGAUAGUAAUAAAGAGAUGAAAUUAUUGGAGGAGGUAAGACUGGUGAGUAGAAAAUAGAAAUGAAGACAGAAAAGGAAGGCUUGAGGAUGGAAAAGAAAGGACAAGCUUUAAAGAGUAAGAAAUAAAAAAAUUGCAGAAUCCUCGACUAUUUCAAAUACUCCAAGUUAUUAACAGUAAAUUCUGUUAUAGUUUAUAUGAAGGCCAUCUUUUUAGACCCACUUUGAGUUUUCUCUGGAUAGACAAGUACUAAAAAAAUAAAGAGCUCAUGACUGACAUACUUUUUCUUCCUAUUUCGGGAAAUCCUGGGUGAAAUUUGGUAGUGGGUCCAAUUGCCUGUGUACUUUUCUUUACUUUGAAAUAAAAUAAUCAGAAAUUUACCUAGUUCCAUAAUUGUAGUCUGUUCAUUUUAUUAUGGUAAAAUAUUCUAUACUCAAAAUAUAUCUGAAAUGCUUUAAAUUGGCCCUUGAUGGAUAUUGAGUAGAGAGAAUUUAUAAGCAGAUACUUCUUUAGAGCUUUUGUUAGUGAACCAGGUAUCAAUUUAGGUUCAAUCAGAUAAAAUGCUGCAAUAGAGAAAUCAUUCUGACAGUUGAUGUUUAUGUUCUAGACAUUCUCAGCGUAGAUAAGAUCUUGCUGAUAAAACUAUGCUCAAUCCUAGAGAUUGCCAGUGAGAAUUUGCAUAUGCCUCUUCCUUCCUUGGAAAAACAAAAACCUCAGUAGUUGUAAAAUGCACUUGAGAAAACAUUAGAAAUUUUAAAUUGAAAGCACGCAUGAUGAUUCUUAGGAACUCAUUUGUUUGUUGCAUUAUAGCAGGAGAGGGAAAGCGUCCCUUCUACUCUCUUUGAACCUUUGUGGAAAUGACUGACAAUAAACAAAUUAAUAAGAGAAAAAGGAAUAUGAUAUGGUUUGGCUCUGUGUCCUCACCCAAAUCUCACCUUGCAUUGUAAUAAUCCCCCUGUGUCAAGGGUGGGACCAAGUAGAGAUAAUUGAAUAAUGGUGGUGGUUUCCCCCAUACUGUCCUCGUGAUAGUGAGUUCUCAAGAGAUCUGAUGGUUUUAUAAGGGGUUUCCCCCUUGGCUUGUGCACUCAUUCUCUUUUCUGCUGCCCUGUGAAGAGGUACCUUCCGCCAUGAUUGUAAGUUUCCUGAGGCCUCCCCAGCCAUGCAGAACUGUGAGUCAAUUAAACCUCUUUUCUUUAUAAAUUACCCAGUCUUGGGUAUGUCUUUAUUAGCAGUGUGAAAGUGGACUAAUGCAGCAUACAAAUAUACUUAGUGUGCAUAAACACAGGAGCCAUAUAAAAUAUGAGGCUCAAAGACGGGCCAGAUGGUUGAGGCUUAAAUACUCCAGCGGGGAGAGGGAAAUGGUGAAGGGCGUGCUGUAGGCAAUUUUUAGAGAUAGUAAAUGACUUUAGGGAAGAUGAAUGGACCUGGAAGGUAGAAAUACUAGCUUGUAAAUGUUUUUCUUUGUAAUUUGAGCCCAACAGGCAGAACAAAAUCCCUUCAGGUGUGGUUACAUGCCUCAGUCUUCUUCCCUGGUAAUAAAAUUUCAAGGAGGGGAUGGAAGGCAGUUAUGUUCUCUUUGGUGGGCCAGGUCUUAAGGCGGAUAAAGGAAUAUUAAGAGUUAAAUUUCACCCUGUUCUGGGGGUGGGGAGAAGGGAGGACAGGAGAGAUUAGAAAGUCCUUGAUUCUGGGAUUAUAGGUGUGCUGUGGCUCACGGCUAUAAUCCCAGCACUUUGGGAGGCUGAGGUGGGAGGAUCGCUUGAAGCCUGGAGUUCGUGACCAGCCUGGGUGACAAAGCGACCUCCUGUCUC